rnacentral:ncRNA from 2 species
UCUGAUCGAAGCGUUCAAGGUGCCCGUCAGCGGAAACGACGGCGGGAUAAUUGGGAAGCCGGUUUGACGCCGGUGCUGCCCCCGCAACGGUAGCGGAGCUGAACCCCGACGAAAGCCACUGGGCGACAAGCCUGGGAAGGUGUCGGGACGGCCUGGAAAGGCCAGCUUCGGAGCCCGGAAACCAGCCUCGAACGUUUAACCUGA